rnacentral:snRNA from 1 species
GAUUCCCACUGUCCCUGU